UUAACAUUUCAGUUCAAAAGAUUUUUUCGCGCUGAGCGGUUGUGCGGAGCGGACGACCGAGAAGUCUCGUUCCCUCUACGGGUUUUCCUUUCAAAUAUUGUCCCAAAACACUUCACGCACACACACAAACACAGCCACAUCGAAUCAAAAGGUUUUUGUUGAUAUUUUUUCGAAAGAAAAGUCAUCAAAGAAAAUAAAAAAGAAAUACGUAAACGCGUUAUACGCCGAAAAUUCAAAACGAAAACAAGAAAACAAAAUUGAAAGUGAAAAUUUGUCGUCUAACGGUUAAACAAAUACAACAAGCGACGCGCAAAGAAAUUUUUUGAAUGAAACGCUGAAAAUAAAGGAAAUAAAUUAAAUAAUUCAAAUCAGCAACAAAAGGCAAAAAGAAAGAAAUUCAUAAUAAUUAGUAUUACAAUUUUGGAGUAUACUAAAGUGUUUAACAGUAAAAAAUUAACGUGAUUUGGUGUGCAAUAAAACAAAACAAAACAAAUUUUAAUAUUGAGAAAUCCAAUCAGAAGAAGAAGAAGAAACAGAAAGCAUCAGACAUACGAGAAGAAGAACUACUACCGAAAUCCCGGUCCAUCCAAAUAGUUUCGAAUCUAUAUGCUCUACGUUGGCAUAGAAGGGGAUACUGAAUAAUAGCAAGCAACAAUUUGCAAGCAAUUCCAAACGUCUUGAAGAAAUUGCACAAGAAUCAUCAACAUUUCUGUUUUGAAGGUAAGCUAAUGGAAAAAUUCUCUGGCAUACCGCAAAGGCAUUUGGUUUAUUUAAUGCCACUUUAUUAUCAGGUAUCCGCAUAUUUUGCAGCCUUCUCACUAUGAAAAGGGGUCAUACCUCUAAAAUGGACCAUUAAUUCUUCUUCCCGUAACCCUCAAGACAACUCAAAUGUAACCAAAUUACUCGGGCAGAAAUAGACGAAGAAAUAGAAUGCAUAGAACGCAAAAACA